AUGUGAAGUGCUAACCAUGUGGUGCAAGAUAACAUUUUACUUUCCUGUGUAUAAAUUCAAAGCAUAAAGUCUGUAGGCCUCAGACUACAUCCUUCUAGCACAGGGAAAUAUACCAACGUGAUCUUAUCAUCACUUGCUACGUCGUCAGAACGAUUGAAACGUUGGAGAAUUGAUGAAAAAAUGAAGAGUAAAACUGUUGUUUUUUAUUCCUUGUUAAUUAUUGUGGCAUUCAUCUGUGGCACCUGCUUAGGAGAGGGUCCUUUGGGCACAUGUCCAGAAAAGGAUGGAACAACAACUAUUUACUUGCCAGAUUCUGAGAAAUGCGAGUUGUUCUAUAUUUGUUCUGGUGGCACUCCCUGGCAACAAUCUUGUUCACCAGGACUUCACUGGAACAGAGCUGUAAACACUUGUGAUUAUCCAGCUGCAGCUAAUUGUCCUAAUGCCUAAUUUUUAGUCACAUAACCUUUUUACCAUAAUACAGGCAUCUUUAGUUUAA